rnacentral:rRNA from 1 species
UACGAAGGGGGCUAGCGUUGUCCGGAAUUACUGGGCGUAAAGCGUGCGUAGACGGUUACAUAAGUCGGGUGUGAAAGCCCCGGGCUCAACCUGGGAAUUGCAUUCGAGACUGCGUAGCUAGGGUGCGGAAGAGGGAAGCGGAAUUUCCGGUGUAGCGGUGAAAUGCGUAGAUAUCGGAAGGAACACCAGUGGCGAAAGCGGCUUCCUGGUCCAGCACCGACGUUCAGGCACGAAAGCGUGGGGAGCAAACAGG